CGGGAAGGCUGUGGGAAGGGAAUUUAGCAGGGAAGGAAGGAGGGAAAGAUGAAGCAGAGUUGUUUAUUGGGGGUGUGGAAUCCAUGUAAUCCAGGGAUUUGUGAAUACAGAAGGAUUGGGAGUUCCUGGGAAUGGGACAGUUGCUUUCAAGACUCUUCAAGGACAUUGCGUGGCCUGUCUGCUGGGAGUUCCAAGUGUCACUUGUCUCAAUACCUGUGCUUGAACACAUCCCCUGACAUGGAAAUGAUGAGCCACAAACUGCCCCAUCAGUCUGUCUGA
rnacentral:lncRNA from 1 species